rnacentral:rRNA from 1 species
AUUGAACGCUGGCGGCAGGCCUAACACAUGCAAGUCGAACGAGUGGCGGACGGGUGAGUAAUGUCUGGGAAACUGCCUGAUGGAGGGGGAUAACUACUGGAAACGGUAGCUAAUACCGCAUACCAUCGGAUGUGCCCAGAUGGGAUUAGCUUGUAGGUGGGGUAAAGGCUCACCUAGGCGACGAUCCCUAGCUGGUCUGAGAGGAUGACGAGCCACACUGGAACUGAGACACGGUCAAGACUCGUACGGGAGGCAGCAGUGGGGAAUAUUGCACAAUGGGCGCAAGCCUGAUGCAGCAAUGCCGCGGGUAUGAAGAAGGCCUUAGGGUUGUAAAGUACUUUAAGCGAGGAGGCGUUACUGGAAGAAGAAGCACCGGCUAACUCCGUGCCAGCAGCCGCGGUAAUUG